UACGGAAGGCAGCAGUGGGGAAUAUUGCACAAUGGGCGCAAGCCUGAUGCAGCCAUGCCGCGUGUAUGAAGAAGGCCUUCGGGUUGUAAAGUACUUUCAGUCGUGAGGAAGGUGUUAAGGUUAAUAACCUUAGCAAUUGACGUUAGCGACAGAAGAAGCACCGGCUAACUCCGUGCCAGCAGCCGCGGUAAUACGGAGGGUGCGAGCGUUAAUCGGAAUUACUGGGCGUAAAGGGCACGCAGGCGGUUAAUUAAGUUGGAUGUGAAAUCCCCGGGCUUAACCUGGGAAUGGCAUUCAAGACUGGUUAGCUAGAGUCUUGUAGAGGGGGUAGAAUUCCAUGUGUAGCGGUGAAAUGCGUAGAGAUGUGGAGGAAUCCGGUGCGAAGGCGGCCCCUGGACAAAGACUGACGCUCAUGUGCGAAAGCGUGGGGAGCAAACAGGAUUAGAUACC
rnacentral:rRNA from 1 species